GGAAAAUAGACACUUGCAUAAAAUACCUUUACUGAAGAAUGAAAAGAAAAGCUGACUGAAUUUUUCAAACAGUCAUACUGCAAUUUUAGACAUCUAAAUUGCUUUUCUGCUUCAGGCAAUGACAAACAAGUUAAAUUUUGCAUUUGGAAGAAUAUUUGAGAAGGACUUUGCGUCUUGUUCCGUUUUUGUUUCUGCUCGAUCUUGAGAUCUGCCAAUGACAGCCAUGCAACAUUUGUUGCCUUGAUAUACAACAUGGUUGUACUGAUAACAAUGCAGUAAUUGCAGGCACCCAUGCCGGAUUGCAGCAGUGGUGUGUUGGUCCUAGGCUGCAAUAUACAUUUCUGCUAUUGUGUGAUCUUUAAGUUCUUGGAACAUUUUCUUAGAAAGUCUAAGUCAAAUCUUCUGACCUAUUAGGAAAUGGAAAGGAGUUGAAAAUAGAUUUCCCCUGCUGAAGCUGCCAAUUAAUUACUAAGAAGAGGAAAUCCUAAGAGCUUAUGAUGAGACUUAAAGCUCAAAGUCUGAUGCUAUCUCCUGAAGUAUGUAUAAGUUUUUGGUAAUUUUAAAGUCUAAAUUUAGAAGUUUAGCACUGAGAAUCUCAGCUCUGGCUUCAUAAUUAAAUGCUUACAGGUUAUAUAUAUAUACAUAUAUUCGUUUAUUAAUCAUGAC
rnacentral:lncRNA from 1 species